rnacentral:rRNA from 1 species
UACGUAGGGUGCGAGCGUUAAUCGGAAUUACUGGGCGUAAAGCGUGCGCAGGCGGUUCGUUGUGUCGGUGGUGAAAUCUCCUGGCUCAACUGGGAGGGUGCGCCGGAAACUGGAGUGCUUGAGCGUGGGAGAGGAAAGCGGAAUUCCUGGUGUAGCGGUGAAAUGCGUAGAUAUCAGGAGGAACACCUGUGGUGUAGACGGCUUUCUGGACCAUAGCUGACGCUGAGGAGCGAAAGCGUGGGGAGCGAACAGG